rnacentral:rRNA from 1 species
UACGAAGGGGGCUAGCGUUGUUCGGAAUUACUGGGCGUAAAGCGCGCGCAGGCGGUCCUUUAAGUCAGGGGUGAAAGCCCAGAGCUCAACUCUGGAACUGCCUUUGAAACUAGAGGACUUGGGUACGGGAGAGGUGAGUGGAAUUCCGAGUGUGGAGGUGAAAUUCGUAGAUAUUCGCAAGAACACCAGUGGCGAAGGCGGCUCACUGGCCCGGUACUGACGCUGAGGUGCGAAAGCGUGGGGAGCAAACAGG